UCCGCGCAGGUUAUGCUCGCUCCGAUCGGCUACGCGGGAACCCGGUGUGACUCCGGGGCGGUCCCGCCACUGUGACCCCGCACGGGGGAGCCAGACCUCGCGUCGCCCGUUGACCAGC
rnacentral:ncRNA from 2 species